rnacentral:rRNA from 1 species
GACGAACGCUGGCGGCGUGCUUAACACAUGCAAGUCGAACGGAAAGGCCCUGCUUUUGUGGGGUGCUCGAGUGGCGAACGGGUGAGUAACACGUGAGUAACCUGCCCUUGACUUUGGGAUCACUUCAGGAAACUGGGGCUAAUACCGGAUAGGAGCUCCUGCUGCAUGGUGGGGGUUGGAAAGUUUCGGCGGUUGGGGAUGGACUCGCGGCUUAUCAGCUUGUUGGUGGGGGAGUGGGUUACCAAGGCUUUGACGGGUAGCCGGCCUGAGAGGGUGACCGGCCACAUUGGGGCUGGGAUACGGCCCAGACCCCUACGGGAGGCAGCAGGGGGGAAAAAUGCACAAUGGGCGGAAGCCUGAUGCAGCAACGCCGCGUGCGGGGUGACGGCCUUCGGGUUGUAAACGGCUUUCGCCUGGGACGAAGCGUGAGGAACGUUAAUGGGUAAAAAAGCACCGGCUAACUACGU